UACAGAGGUCUCAAGCGUUGUUCGGAUUCAUUGGGCGUAAAGGGUGCGUAGGCGGCGCGGUAAGUCGGGUGUGAAAUCUCGGAGCUUAACUCCGAAACUGCAUUCGAUACUGCCGUGCUUGAGGACUGGAGAGGAGACUGGAAUUUACGGUGUAGCGGUGAAAUGCGUAGAUAUCGUAAGGAAGACCAGUGGCGAAGGCGGCCAACUGGUCCGGUACUGACGCUGAGGUGCGAAAGCGUGGGGAGCAAACAGG
rnacentral:rRNA from 1 species